UAGUACUUCAGAGCUCCUACAGCCUCGUUCAGUACCUGACAACACAACGCUCUCAGGUUUAGUACGUCAGAGCUCCUACAGCCUCGUUCAGUACCUGCCAACACAACGCUCUCAGGUUUAGUACAUCAGAGCUCCUACAGCCUCGUUCAGUACCUGCCAACACAACGCUCUCAGGUUUAGUACGUCAGAGCUCCUACAGCCUCGUUCAGUACCUGCCAACACAACGCUCUCAGGUUUAGUACAUCAGAGCUCCUACAGCCUCGUUCAGUACCUGCCAACACAACGCUCUCAGGUUUAGUACAUCAGAGCUCCUACAGCCUCGUUCAGUACCUGCCAACACAACGCUCUCAGGUUUAGUACGUCAGAGCUCCUACAGCCUCGUUCAGUACCUGCCAACACAACGCUCUCAGGUUUAGUACGUCAGAGCUCCUACAGCCUCGUUCAGUACCUGCCAACACAACGCUCUCAGGUUUAGUACGUCAGAGCUCCUACAGCCUCGUUCAGUACCUGCCAACACAACGCUCUCAGGUUUAGUACGUCAGAGCUCCUACAGCCUCGUUCAGUACCUGUCAACACAACGCUCUCAGGUUUAGUACGUCAGAGCUCCUACAGCCUCGUUCAGUACCUGUCAACACAACGCUCUCAGGUUUAGUACGUCAGAGAUCCUACAGCCUCGUUCAGUACCUGCCAACACAACGCUCUCAGGUUUAGUACGUCAGAGCUCCUACAGCCUCGUUCAGUACCUGUCAACACAACGCUCUCAGGUUUAGUACGUCAGAGCUCCUACAGCCUCGUUCAGUACCUGUCAACACAACGCUCUCAGGUUUAGUACGUCAGAGCUCCUACAGUCUCGUUCAGUACCUGCCAACACAACGCUCUCAGGUUUAGUACGUCAGAGCUCCUACAGCCUCGUUCAGUACCUGCCAACACAACGCUCUCAGGUUUAGUACGUCAGAGCUCCUACAGCCUCGUUCAGUACCUGCCAACACAACGCUCUCAGGUUUAGUACGUCAGAGCUCCUAGAGCCUCGUUCAGUACCUGCCAACACAACGCUCUCAGGUUUAGUACGUCAGAGCUCCUACAGCCUCGUUCAGUACCUGUCAACACAACGCUCUCAGGUUUAGUACGUCAGAGCUCCUACAGCCUCGUUCAGUACCUGUCAACACAACGCUCUCAGGUUUAGUACGUCAGAACUCCUACAGUCUCGUUCAGUACCUGCCAACACAACACUCUCAGAUUUAGUACGUCAGAGCUCCUACAGCCUUGUUCAGUACCUGCCAACACAACACUCUCAGAUUUAGUACGUCAGAGCUCCUACAGCCUCGUUCAGUACCUGCCAACACAACGCUCUCAGGUUUAGUACGUCAGAGCUCCUACAGCCUCGUUCAGUACCUGCCAACACAACGCUCUCAGGUUUAGUACGUCAGAGCUCCUACAGCCUCGUUCAGUACCUGCCAACACAACGCUCUCAGGUUUAGUACGUCAGAGCUCCUACAGCCUCGUUCAGUACCUGCCAACACAACGCUCUCAGGUUUAGUACGUCAGAGCUCCUACAGCCUCGUUCAGUACCUGCCAACACAACGCUCUCAGGUUUAGUACGUCAGAGCUCCUACAGCCUCGUUCAGUACCUGCCAACACAACGCUCUCAGGUUUAGUACGUCAGAGCUCCUACAGCCUCGUUCAGUACCUGUCAACACAACGCUCUCAGGUUUAGUACGUCAGAGCUCCUACAGCCUCGUUCAGUACCUGUCAACACAACGCUCUCAGGUUUAGUACGUCAGAGCUCCUACAGUCUCGUUCAGUACCUGCCAACACAACGCUCUCAGAUUUAGUACGUCAGAGCUCCUACAGCCUCGUUCAGUACCUGCCAACACAACGCUCUCAGGUUUAGUACGUCAGAGCUCCUACAGCCUCGUUCAGUACCUGCCAACACAACGCUCUCAGGUUUAGUACGUCAGAGCUCCUACAGCCUCGUUCAGUACCUGUCAACACAACGCUCUCAGGUUUAGUACGUCAGAGAUCCUACAGCCUCGUUCAGUACCUGCCAACACAACGCUCUCAGGUUUAGUACGUCAGAGCUCCUACAGCCUCGUUCAGUACCUGUCAACACAACGCUCUCAGGUUUAGUACGUCAGAGCUCCUACAGCCUCGUUCAGUACCUGUCAACACAACGCUCUCAGGUUUAGUACGUCAGAGCUCCUACAGUCUCGUUCAGUACCUGCCAACACAACGCUCUCAGGUUUAGUACGUCAGAGCUCCUACAGCCUCGUUCAGUACCUGCCAACACAACGCUCUCAGGUUUAGUACGUCAGAGCUCCUACAGCCUCGUUCAGUACCUGCCAACACAACGCUCUCAGGUUUAGUACGUCAGAGCUCCUAGAGCCUCGUUCAGUACCUGCCAACACAACGCUCUCAGGUUUAGUACGUCAGAGCUCCUACAGCCUCGUUCAGUACCUGUCAACACAACGCUCUCAGGUUUAGUACGUCAGAGCUCCUACAGCCUCGUUCAGUACCUGUCAACACAACGCUCUCAGGUUUAGUACGUCAGAACUCCUACAGUCUCGUUCAGUACCUGCCAACACAACACUCUCAGAUUUAGUACGUCAGAGCUCCUACAGCCUUGUUCAGUACCUGCCAACACAACGCUCUCAGGUUUAGUACGUCAGAGCUCCUACAGCCUCGUUCAGUACCUGCCAACACAACGCUCUCAGGUUUAGUACGUCAGAGCUCCUACAGCCUCGUUCAGUACCUGCCAACACAACGCUCUCAGGUUUAGUACGUCAGAGCUCCUACAGCCUCGUUCAGUACCUGCCAACACAACGCUCUCAGGUUUAGUACGUCAGAGCUCCUACAGCCUCGUUCAGUACCUGCCAACACAACGCUCUCAGGUUUAGUACGUCAGAGCUCCUACAGCCUCGUUCAGUACCUGCCAACACAACGCUCUCAGGUUUAGUACGUCAGAGCUCCUACAGCCUCGUUCAGUACCUGCCAACACAACGCUCUCAGGUUUAGUACGUCAGAGCUCCUACAGCCUCGUUCAGUACCUGUCAACACAACGCUCUCAGGUUUAGUACGUCAGAGCUCCUACAGCCUCGUUCAGUACCUGUCAACACAACGCUCUCAGGUUUAGUACGUCAGAGCUCCUACAGUCUCGUUCAGUACCUGCCAACACAACGCUCUCAGAUUUAGUACGUCAGAGCUCCUACAGCCUCGUUCAGUACCUGCCAACACAACGCUCUCAGGUUUAGUACGUCAGAGCUCCUACAGCCUCGUUCAGUACCUGCCAACACAACGCUCUCAGGUUUAGUACGUCAGAGCUCCUACAGCCUCGUUCAGUACCUGCCAACACAACGCUCUCAGGUUUAGUACGUCAGAGCUCCUACAGCCUCGUUCAGUACCUGCCAACACAACGCUCUCAGGUUUAGUACGUCAGAGCUCCUACAGCCUCGUUCAGUACCUGUCAACACAACGCUCUCAGGUUUAGUACGUCAGAGCUCCUACAGCCUCGUUCAGUACCUGUCAACACAACGCUCUCAGGUUUAGUACGUCAGAGCUCCUACAGUCUCGUUCAGUACCUGCCAACACAACGCUCUCAGGUUUAGUACGUCAGAGCUCCUACAGCCUCGUUCAGUACCUGCCAACACAACGCUCUCAGGUUUAGUACGUCAGAGCUCCUACAGCCUCGUUCAGUACCUGCCAACACAACGCUCUCAGGUUUAGUACGUCAGAGCUCCUAGAGCCUCGUUCAGUACCUGCCAACACAACGCUCUCAGGUUUAGUACGUCAGAGCUCCUACAGCCUCGUUCAGUACCUGUCAACACAACGCUCUCAGGUUUAGUACGUCAGAGCUCCUACAGCCUCGUUCAGUACCUGUCAACACAACGCUCUCAGGUUUAGUACGUCAGAACUCCUACAGUCUCGUUCAGUACCUGCCAACACAACACUCUCAGAUUUAGUACGUCAGAGCUCCUACAGCCUUGUUCAGUACCUGCCAACACAACGCUCUCAGGUUUAGUACGUCAGAGCUCCUACAGCCUCGUUCAGUACCUGCCAACACAACGCUCUCAGGUUUAGUACGUCAGAGCUCCUACAGCCUCGUUCAGUACCUGCCAACACAACGCUCUCAGGUUUAGUACGUCAGAGCUCCUACAGCCUCGUUCAGUACCUGCCAACACAACGCUCUCAGGUUUAGUACGUCAGAGCUCCUACAGCCUCGUUCAGUACCUGCCAACACAACGCUCUCAGGUUUAGUACGUCAGAGCUCCUACAGCCUCGUUCAGUACCUGCCAACACAACGCUCUCAGGUUUAGUACGUCAGAGCUCCUACAGCCUCGUUCAGUACCUGUCAACACAACGCUCUCAGGUUUAGUACGUCAGAGCUCCUACAGCCUCGUUCAGUACCUGUCAACACAACGCUCUCAGGUUUAGUACGUCAGAGCUCCUACAGUCUCGUUCAGUACCUGCCAACACAACACUCUCAGAUUUAGUACGUCAGAGCUCCUACAGCCUCGUUCAGUACCUGCCAACACAACGCUCUCAGGUUUAGUACGUCAGAGCUCCUACAGCCUCGUUCAGUACCUGCCAACACAACGCUCUCAGGUUUAGUACGUCAGAGCUCCUACAGCCUCGUUCAGUACCUGCCAACACAACGCUCUCAGGUUUAGUACAUCAGAGCUCCUACAGCCUCGUUCAGUACCUGCCAACACAACGCUCUCAGGUUUAGUACGUCAGAGCUCCUACAGCCUCGUUCAGUACCUGCCAACACAACGCUCUCAGGUUUAGUACAUCAGAGCUCCUACAGCCUCGUUCAGUACCUGCCAACACAACGCUCUCAGGUUUAGUACGUCAGAGCUCCUACAGCCUCGUUCAGUACCUGCCAACACAACGCUCUCAGGUUUAGUACAUCAGAGCUCCUACAGCCUCGUUCAGUACCUGCCAACACAACGCUCUCAGGUUUAGUACAUCAGAGCUCCUACAGCCUCGUUCAGUACCUGCCAAUACAACGCUCUCAGGUUUAGUAUGUCAGAGCUCCUACAGCCUCGUUCAGUACCUGCCAACACAACGCUCUCAGGUUUAGUACAUCAGAGCUCCUACAGCCUCGUUCAGUACCUGCCAACACAACGCUCUCAGGUUUAGUACAUCAGAGCUCCUACAGCCUCGUUCAGUACCUGCCAACACAACGCUCUCAGGUUUAGUACGUCAGAGCUCCUACAGCCUCGUUCAGUACCUGCCAACACAACGCUCUCAGGUUUAGUACAUCAGAGCUCUUACAGCCUCGUUCAGUACCUGCAAACUCAACGCUCUCAAGUUUAGUACAUCAGAGGGCCGUUAUACAGCACCCUUCAAUAAAGAGAAAUAGAACUAAAGUCAUGUGUCAUCCGAAUGCAUAGAAAUUCAUUAACCACAGCUGUGUUGUUGUUCCAUAGGCCCUGACAGGCCCUACUAUUAUUUGACCAUGCUGGUCAUUUAUGAACAUCCUGUCCAUGUUCUGUUAUAAUAUCCACCCGGAACAGCCAGAAGAAGACUGGCCAUCCCUCAUAGCCUGGUUCCUGUCUAGGUUUCUUCCUAGGUUUUGGCCUUCCUAGGGAGUUUCCAGGCCACCGUGCUUGUACACCUGCAUUGCUUGCCGUUUGGGGUUUUAGGCUGGUUUUCUGUACAGCACUUUGAUAUAUCAGCUGAUGUAAGAAGGGCUAUAUAAAUAAAUUUGACUUGAUUUGACAUGGGCUCUCCAUUGGGCUCUUGUAGUGGUAGCCCAUCUAUUCUCACCACGUUUGAUGUUCCAUUUCAUGAUCAGCCCAACUGCAGCUAGCACCAUACGCUCUGCCACUUCUCCCUUUAUACGCUGUGUAAAGCCACCAUGUAGCUCAAUUAAACUGAAAGGGGAUAUUUUAAUUAGGCAAGGAGCUGGGUGGUUAUGGGCCUGUGAAAGGGAAUGAGGAGAGAAUGUGGGUGCCAUCUGUUUCUGCAGGGCCAGGGAGAGCUCAAAGAUUCAGCCUGCCAUACAUUCAGAACCAGAGCAGUACUACAGGAAGUAUAGAUGGCCAGUUUUCCUCUGAUGUUUAAUUUAGCAUUGUUGCACUGUGGGAAAAACACUGGAUAUAAUCAAGUCUUAUUAUAUUACUAUUAUUGUUCACCUUUAUUUAUCUAGGCAAGUCAAUUAAGAACAAAUUCUUAUUUACAAAUGGCGGCCUACCAAAAGGCAACAUAAAUUCAAAUAAAAAAGAUAAAGUCUAUUGUACUGUUCUGUUAAUUAGGAAGAUUACAUUUAUUUUAACUGAAAAAUGUAUACUUGUCAGGCUUAUUUCUGUCAUUGUAAAUGAGUUGUUCAUGUCAUUGUUUUUAGGACAUUGUUGAUUACGGUGUUUGAACAAACUUGUUCAGGGUCUUGCAUAUAAUAUGGUAAACAAAUACUGUUUUUAGGCCAGGGUGUCUUUUUUAAGUCCAAUUAACUUGAAACUGGUAGCAUGUAAAUGAGGCUGAGCAGACAGAUGACAUGUAGAGCAUGG